AACGAUGAUGUCCCAGCUUGCUGGGUGGAUUAGUGGCGAACGGGUGAGUAACACGUGAGUAACCUGCCCUUAACUCUGGGAUAAGCCUGGGAAACUGGGUCUAAUACCGGAUAUGACUCCUCAUCGCAUGGUGGGGGGUGGAAAGCUUUUUGUGGUUUUGGAUGGACUCGCGGCCUAUCAGCUUGUUGGUGAGGUAAUGGCUUACCAAGGCGACGACGGGUAGCCGGCCUGAGAGGGUGACCGGCCACACUGGGACUGAGACACGGCCCAGACUCCUACGGGAGGCAGCAGUGGGGAAUAUUGCACAAUGGGCGCAAGCCUGAUGCAGCGACGCCGCGUGAGGGAUGACGGCCUUCGGGUUGUAAACCUCUUUCAGUAGGGAAGAAGCGAAAGUGACGGUACCUGCAGAAGAAGCGCCGGCUAACUACGUGCCAGCAGCCG
rnacentral:rRNA from 1 species